rnacentral:rRNA from 1 species
UACAGAGGGUGCAAGCGUUAAUCGGAAUUACUGGGCGUAAAGCGUGCGCAGACGGUCUCGUAAGUCGGGUGUGAAAUCCCCGGGCUCAACCUGGGAAUGCCAUUCGAGACUGCAUAGCUAGGGUGCGGAAGAGGGAAGCGGAAUUUCCGGUGUAGCGGUGAAAUGCGUAGAUAUCGGAAGGAACACCAGUGGCGAAAGCGGCUUCCUGGUCCAGCACCGACGUUCAGGCACGAAAGCGUGGGGAGCAAACAGG